rnacentral:misc_RNA from 1 species
CUGGAACUCGAUUCUUAUAUAUUGAUAAGUUGGGGUGAGCACGGCUUUGAGUUAAUCUCGUUAGCCUUCGCACUUGGAUUAUUAAGUGAAAGUCCAGUUUGAGUUGACCUUGCUGGUAGAUAUUAGAUUAAGAAAUCUAUAUAAGGGAUCUACUCUCAUAUGUAUAUUGAUGUAUCAUAUGGGUGCGUGCGUGCUCCAAGUAAUCUUUUGUGCGAAUAUUGGUUGAAUUGUUUGAACUAUGUAAACGUGCU